UCCCUGGUGGCUCAGAUGGUAAAGCAUCUGCCUGCAAUACGGGAGACUCAGGUUCGAUUCCUGGGUUGGGAA
rfam:Ovis aries breed Texel chromosome 13, whole genome shotgun sequence.